rnacentral:rRNA from 1 species
GAUGAACGCUGGCGGCGUGCCUAAUACAUGCAAGUCGAGCGAACAGACGAGGAGCUUGCUCCUCUGACGUUAGCGGCGGACGGGUGAGUAACACGUGGAUAACCUACCUAUAAGACUGGGAUAACUUCGGGAAACCGGAGCUAAUACCGGAUAAUAUAUUGAACCGCAUGGUUCAAUAGUGAAAGACGGUUUUGCUGUCACUUAUAGAUGGAUCCGCGCCGCAUUAGCUAGUUGGUAAGGUAACGGCUUACCAAGGCGACGAUGCGUAGCCGACCUGAGGGGUGAGUGGCCCACAUGGAAACUAGACCACGGCCCAAACUCCUAGGGGGGGAGGAGGUGGGAAAUUUUCCGAAAGGGGGGAAGCCCGGAGGGGCAAACCCGCGGGAGGGAAGAAAGGUUUUGGAUUGGAAAAACCUUUUUUUAGGGAAGAAAAAAAUUGUAAGGACAAUUGCCCGGCUUGAAGGGUACCAAAUAGAAAAGCCCGGGCAAAUUAGGG